AGCCCACCCCCAAAAUCCACCUCCCCUUGGGACAUUCUUUUAGGCUACAAGGUGGAUUUAUCCACCCCACCCCCAAAAUCCACCUUGCAUUGGGAAUGCUCUUACAGAAAACAUUUGGGUAUUUCCACCAGCUCCUUGUGCAGCUCUUUAUGAGAAUAUGUGGUAUCGGAAAAAUUAGGCUAACUGCUUUAGUAUCUGGAGCUCAUCUGCCAGCUUCCUGUGCACCCACACAAGUCAGGUUGUAGAGGUUUUAUUUUUGGCAGAUUUGUGUAGUGGUAAGAGAAGUUGAAGUUACAACACAAUUAUAACGUCAAGAAGUGUUGUUCUAUGUCGCAAAAUGGAGACAGAUAUAAACAUGGAAGUUAUGGCCUUGUCAAAUCAAGACUCCAUCAAAACCAGCAGCAGGAACCAGUGAAUGUUGUUGUCACUACUUUUGUAACAGACUGGGAAAUUCUUGAGGUACUGCACUGUUUUUCAUUUUUUUGUUUUUUUUUCCUUCUCAUUCAUUCAUUUAAGAUUCGAGAGAAUAAGCUAGAUCUAAUUGGUUUUGAGUAAGAGAGGGAAAAAAAUUGUAACUUUCCAGUUAAUGGAGUUGAUUAGAUUGAGGUUAUGAUCUUAUCAGAUAACUUAAGGUUUUCUUAUAAAAUCAGCCCAUUUUGCAUGUAUGUCAAAAGCAAUUGCCAAUUUGAGUUUGCCAAAAUUGUGUUUUUUUAGUCUGUGGGCGGCAUGAUGUUUUAGAUAUUUAUUUAUACUGUUCUUCCAGCUGCUUGACUAAAUAGAGUUUGGUCUUUCUCUCAUUUGUGUGAACCUGUUUUUACUGGUCUCUAAUUUUUCUUUCUUCCAGUUCCUAGCAAGAAUCGGUGGUAUAGUAUUAUAUUAAGCGAAAGAAAAUAUAAAGCAGUGAUGGAGUCUCUAAUUUUCAUGCACAAAAUGAAGGGGAGGUCAACUCUGACAAGAUAGUGCAGGCCAUAAAAGCUGCUGCCUGAAGUUGGCUAAACAUCAGCGAAAGAGCCUCCUGUAUACCCUGCAUUCUAACCUUUGUUUUUGCCAUUUCAUCAGGUUUCAGACAUCACCAGUCGCAACCCAUACAGGAGGUCAGUGUAACGAAUGUUCUGUCUCAGUUCCAUGGAAGUAUGGUGGAAGCAGCCUGGGGCAGCAACAGCUGAACUCCGCAGCAGCAAACUCUUGGUUUGUAUUCUGUAAGUGUUUUAUUUUUUGCAUCUCUAUGGUUUUCAUAUGGGGUUAACUGGCGGUGCAUUGCACAUGCUGACCAGUAUUGUACUCUCUGUUUUUAUUAAUGAAAUUUUUACCUUUGAUAAAAAAAAAGGAAGCAGGCUACUCCAAGUGUUGGGUUUGUGCAAGACCUGAUUCGAUCUAUAUUGUGGCCACUACAGUAUGAUUAUGCGUUAACAGGCUUUCUUGUAAUUAGUAAACUUUUAGGCCAUAAUAAAGACAUGUUGGUAGUAUCAUGUAAACAGGCUUUCUUGUAAAGUUGUAAUUAGUAUGUAUAUUGGCCACUACAGUAUGAUUGUGUAAUGACUUCAACUGGGAAAACACAUUUGUAAAUUGGCACCAAUGUUGCAUCCAGUGACAUGUGAUUUGCC
rnacentral:lncRNA from 1 species